rnacentral:rRNA from 1 species
UACGGGGGGGGCAAGCGUUGUUCGGAAUUACUGGGCGUAAAGGGCUCGUAGGCGGCCAACUAAGUCAGACGUGAAAUCCCUCGGCUUAACCGGGGAACUGCGUCUGAUACUGGAUGGCUUGAGGUUGGGAGAGGGAUGCGGAAUUCCAGAUGUAGCGGUGAAAUGCGUAGAUAUCUGGAGGAACACCGGUGGCGAAGGCGGCAUCCUGGACCGGCAUUGACGCUAAAGCGCGAAAGCCAGGGGAGCAAACGGG